CUUGACACUGAACAUUGAGCCUUGAUGUGUAGGAUAGGUGGGAGGCUUUGAAGUGUGGACGCCAGUCUGCAUGGAGCCGACCUUGAAAUACCACCCUUUAAUGUUUGAUGUUCUAACGUGGACCCGUUACCCGGGUUGCGGACAGUGUCUGGUGGGUAGUUUGACUGGGGCGGUCUCCUCCUAAAGAGUAACGGAGGAGCACGAAGGUUGGCUAAUCCUGGUCGGACAUCAGGAGGUUAGUGCAAUGGCAUAAGCCA
rnacentral:rRNA from 11 species